rnacentral:lncRNA from 1 species
UCAUGAUAAGCUCUCACAUGGAAAUGAUGAAUAGUUGCUCUGCCAUGACUAGUUCUCAAAAUUAAAAUCUCUCUCAAGUUUAGGCAUGACUGUUAUUAAUUAAGAUUUGCUCUAAACCUGAACUUGUGGGAAGAGUACUUGAUCUAAAGUCUAAGUCGUUAACAGAUACGAUAUGGGAAGGUUGAGCUACUAUUUAUCUGUUCCUUGAGAUACUAGAAUUCUGGAGAAUUUUAUCUUUCAAAAUCUUUAAAAUGUUGCAUGAUGAGUUCCUGUAUGAUGAGAGUUUAAAAUCCUACCACAGCCAUAUAUACAUGCUUGGUAGACUUUGAGCCACACAUUUACUUUUUACUGCUUAUGAGCAUUGAGUGUGGUCAAGCUGUGUAGACCCUUAGGAGCUUGUCAUGUGGUUAAAUCAAGAUUCACUUGCACAUUCACUCACACAUGCUGCUUCUACUCUGGAAGUACGCAUCCACAUAUAUCCACCCAUUUCCAUUUCCAGAACCACCCAAAAAUAUUCUACUCCUAAUCCGGGAGAGAAUAGCCAAAAAUAUUAUUGUUUUCCCCUGUGAAAUAAAUGCUCAAGUUAUCUUGGUUACUACCACUUGCUACAUUAUUUCAAGAGAUCGAGUGCUCUAAAAAAAAGAGAAAAAAAGAUACGAAGAAAUAAAAAGGGGCAAGUGCCCGGAACCUCGAGACGAGAGGUAAAAAUGGACAAGUGUCCGAUAGUAGAAUUAGGGGUACAAGAUACCCACCUAAGAGGAAAGAAAAAGAAAAUACAGAGCAUCUCAUUCUCCCCAAAAGUUUCAAAAGAGCAAGAAAGGUAUGUAUCCCCUCAAAAGAGCACAAGUAGAAUUAGAAUUUCACCAUUAUUAUCACUAUCAUCACCAUACACCAUUCAUUCUCCACACAUGCACAUCUUGAUUUGACUUAUUGACAUGUUUCUCUGGAUCCAUGGUUUGACUAUGCAAUAAAUGUCUUGUAAGUAUGUAUUAGCUGUCUCCCACCUAUGAGCUCCACAUAUCAAAACCUUAUUAGAGUAGGGUGAGAGAGAAGACAAUGACACUAUGCCUCAUUCCAAAAAUACCACAUACUUUGAGAGAAGGCAUACACCAUUACUGCCUUGGUAAGGAUCCAGAA